rnacentral:SRP_RNA from 1 species
GCUAGGUGUGGUGGCACGUGCCUGUAGUCCCAGCUACUGGGGAGGCUGAGGUGGGAGGAUUGCCUGAGCCCAGGAGUUCUGGGCUGUAGUGCGCUAUGCUGGUUGGGUGUCCGCACUAAGUUUGGCAUCAAUAUGGUGACCUCCCAGGAGCGGGGACCACCAGGUUGCCUAAGGAGGGAUGAACUGGCCCAGGUCAGAAACAUAGCAGGCCAGAACUCCUCUGCUGAUCAGUAGUAGGAUCACGCCUGUGAACAGCCACUGCACUCCAGCCUGGGCCACACAGCGAGACGCUGUCUCUA